UGGCUCAGUUGGUAGAGCAUUGCUCUUGCAAUGUUAAGUUUGUGGGUUCAUUUCCCAU
rnacentral:tRNA from 1 species